UAUCUCUCUGUACAGGGAAGGAUGAGAAUCUUCGAUUAAGGUUCGACUCGAGCGGAAGCGAGAGAACGUUGCCAACGGCAACGGCCCGAAGGGCGCGACGCGCCGAGUCAUCCUUCCCCCACCAUAA
rnacentral:sRNA from 7 species